UUGUUGUUGUUGUUGUUGUUGUUGGUCUUUGAAGAAGGGCUUCCUGGAUUUGUUUCAGCUACUCCAGGAGACCCAUGAUCUUCUUCUGGGCUCUCCUCAGUCAUAUCUCUAUCUCUUUGUUUUUUUUUGUGAUUGAUGUUAACCACAUGUGAUCAAUCUGAUUUUAUGGUUAAGCUUAGUGCAUGAAACUAGGCAACUUUUCUAUUUAUGGAUACCUUGCCAACCAAAUUUGGAACUCCAUGCGACUCGCUCCUUUUUUUUUUUUUUUUUUUUUUUCUUUGUUAUUUGCCAGAUAAUAAAGAAAAGUGUAAGAAAAUAGCAAUCAUGUAACAUAUUGUCAUCAAAUAGUGUUUUCAAUUUAUUAUUUUCCGUAGUAUGUUUAUUUAGUAUGUAGACAACUAUAAAUUAUCAUGUCUCCAUAAUGCUUUGAUUUAUUGUAUUAUAGUAAUUUCCUAAACUCUAGCCUGGUAAAUAUAUAUGGUGGUUAUUUAUCCGAGAAUAUUACACGUAAAGGCACUAUUUUGAAACUUUGGCCACAAAUAGGCACUUUAAAAGCAUUAGUCACUUUAACUCAGUAGAAUUACCCCUUUACCCUGAAAUCGUUAGUUUAACAAAACCUAACAAAUUUAGCCGGUUUUCGGUUUAAUUUUUUAAUCUCAAUCUCUAAACUAAAACCAAUUUGUGAGAAACCUCUUUUUCUCACCCAAUCCUUCACGACGAUUUUACAGUUUCAUUUAUCUGGGCAGUUAAAAUCAUCACAACGACGAUAACAUCAUCUCGACUCCGGCGAUCAUCCCAACGAGUUUUCUACCGGCAAAGUCAUUUCCUCGUCCCUCUCCCGUCGUUAUCGUCAACAAAGCUUUCAAUCGGCCGACAUUAAUUCGUCCUCUCCCGUCGUCGUCGUCAACACUUGUUCUCCCGUCAUGGUCUUCAUUUUCUUGUCUCUCAAUCGAUUCGUCGUCUCCGGCGUGUGCUAGUAACUUCUACUCGGUCCUCAAAUGCAAGGUAUUAAUCUUCUCCAAUCAUUUUAUUUGCUCUAAUUAUUCAACCGUGUGCUAAUUUUAUUUAUAAUAUCCAACAUUGUGAAGAGCUAAUAGGUGAAGACAUGAAUGCUACGUUAGGUGAUAUUUCAAAAAUGUUAAUCACAAGACCUUAUCUUCUUACCACAGACUUCGGCUUGCUUAUCUCCUCAUUGUUGACGGUGUCCUCGUAUCCUCAAACCAACCUAUUACGUCUACAUUAAAAUAUGUAGAGAUGUUGGCAGAUUUGGAGAAGUUCCUUAACUGACUGAGGUCUACGUAACUGACUGUCUAUACACAUGUGGAUAAAUGGUCAAAGAAACAUGGAUAAUAUACUUUGGAUUGACGUUUAUUGUUCAUGUAUAAACUUAUGUAUUAGUAUGAAACUAUCAUGUGAGUCUUUAGAUGAUCAUGGACUGGACUGCUUGGACAAUCAUUAAUGGACAAAUAUGUCUUUGAUUUGCUGCGAAUAUGUUUAUAGCUCGAUAAAAUUGUAUCAACAUGUCUAUAUACAUGUGGAUAAAUGGUCAAAGAAACAUGGAUAAUGUACUUUGGAUUGAUGUUUAUUUGUAAAUCUUAAUAUAAAUGUCAUCCAGUCAUAGUGAAUUAUCCAAUCAGACAAACGAAUUAAUACAGUUAUGUUGUGGAUGGAUUCAUAUGGAUACAUUAACAAUUAUCUUUAUC
rnacentral:sRNA from 1 species